GAUGAAGAACGCAGCGAAAUGCGAUAAGUAAUGUGAAUUACAGAAUUCAGUGAAUCAUCGAAUCUUUGAACGCACAUUGCGCCCGCGAGUAUUCUCGCGGGCAUGCCUGUCCGAGCGUCAUUUCAACCCUCAGGGCCCGCCUGCUUCGGCAGGCGCGGCGCUGGUGUUGGGGAUCGGCCUAACCGCCGUCCCCCAAAUACAGUGGCGGUCUCGCUGCAGCCUCCCCUGCGUAGUAGCAACACUCGCAUGCGGAGCGCGGCGCGGCCACGCCGUAAAACCCCCGACUUUCUGAACGUUGACCUCGGAUCAGGUAGGAAUACCCGCUGAACUUAAGCAUAUCAAUAAGCGGAGGA
rnacentral:misc_RNA from 1 species